rnacentral:tRNA from 1 species
CGGGAUGUGGCGCAGCCCGGUAGCGCGCUUCGUUCGGGACGAAGAGGCCGCUGGUUCGAAUCCAGUCAUCCCGACAA